AGAGAAAGGCUCACCUGACCAACCAGUAUAUGCAACGAGUGGCUGGAAUGAGAGCACUUCCUGCCAAUGCCAUCUUAAAUCAGUUCCAGCCUGCAGCGGGUGGCUACUUUGUGCCAGCAGUCCCACAGGCUCAGGGAAGGCCUCCAUAUUAUACACCUAACCAGUUAGCACAGAUGAGGCCUAAUCCACGCUGGCAGCAAGGUGGGAGACCUCAAGGCUUCCAAGGAAUGCCAAGUGCUAUACGCCAGUCUGGGCCUCGUCCAACUCUUCGUCAUCUGGCUCCAACUGGGUCUGAGUGCCCGGACCGCUUGGCUAUGGACUUUGGUGGGGCUGGUGCCGCCCAGCAAGGGCUGACUGACAGCUGCCAGUCUGGAGGUGGUAUUGGAUGCACACAGAAGGGGGAAAGAUGGGAUUUGACGGGUCUUUGCCCAGACUGAUGGGCUUUAAUUGUAUUUGUUCUUUCCCUAAGGCGUUCCCACAGCUGUGCAGAACUUAGCGCCGCGCGCUGCUGUUGCCGCUGCUGCUCCCCGGGCUGUUGCCCCCUACAAAUACGCCUCCAGUGUCCGCAGCCCUCAUCCUGCCAUACAGCCUCUGCAGGUGAGGUCCACCAGACAGAAUGCUUAAAAGGAUUUCCCCCAUUUCCACUUGAUGUAAAAGAAGCUUUGCUUUGAUUCCUUCAACAGGUAUUAAAUGCCUGCUCUGUGUUAUGACGCUAUGUUCUGAUUCACUGUCCCUGCCCUUCAGGGGCUCACUAGUGGGAGAGA
rnacentral:sRNA from 1 species